CCCGGACUGGUAAUCUGUUUCUUCGGGCAAUUGCCCGAAAGGCCGCUCUAUUUUUCAUUUAAGUGGGCCGCUCGUGAUCUAUCUUUACUCCCAAUUAAGAAACUGCAUCUGCAUCUGGCAGUCUCUAGGACCGCUCCUUCAACUCCCACUGUAGCUCCGCCCCUCCCACUCGUGGCUGUUCUCAAGCUGCUGCUGCUGCCGUGCUGUGUGUGGGGAAGUCGGAUGAGCAGGGCCUCCAGCAGAUACUGCAGCUGCUUAAACGGUCUCAGUCCCCUCUCAAGCUAAAGCAAGUUAUUAAUGUAGAUUGCCGUAAGGAUUUGUCGAAGGGCUCGGACUGGAUAUCUAUGUUUAAGAAAGCCCACCUGAUUUUCGGCACAUCUAAGAUUUCACAAUCAUGAACCGACAAUUUUGUUAAGUUAGCUUCCUGCAAGAAUUUGAGACCAUCGGUUGGAUCAUCAACCGGGGCUUUGUAAAGGUCUUUAAAAUGUUCAGUCAUGAUAUGUCUAAUUUCGGUAGGGUCAUGUGUCAAACCGUUAGCUGACCUAAGUUUUUGUAUAUACGUGUUUUUGUUCUGUUUUUUUGCUAUAUAUGCUAGUAGUUUCCCUGACUUAUUUCCAUAUCUAUAAAAUUGAUUCGCUGUAUGGCUUAACGUGUUGUAA